rnacentral:snRNA from 1 species
GCGCUUGCUUCAGCAGCACGUGUAUUAAAAUUGGAACAAUACAGAGAAGAUCAGCAUGGCCCCUGUAUAAGGAUGACACACACAUUCUUGAAGUGUUCCAUAUUUUG